AGGUGUUUGCGGUAGACUGGAGUCCUGAUGGCCAACGAGUCGCAAGUGGAGGGAAGGACAAAUGUCUUCGGAUAUGGAGACGAUAGCGGAAGGACUGGAUGAACUUUUAAAAAUUCUUUUCUGGUGCUACUCCUCCUGUUUUAGGGAAGAUUUGGGGGUUUGAGAAUGGGGCCCAUUGUACAGAAUACUUGGCAGACAACUUCCUUUUAUAUCGAACACUGGAAAACUAUAUUGAAUAUUUUCAUCCGUGUUAACUAUCAACAUGGAUGCUACAGCAUAAGCAGGAAGAUCUUCAGAUCGUGGUUCAACUUAGAUUAUGAACUAUGCUGGUCACAAAUAAGCCACCAUUCCCUUGCUUUGGACUCCUGUCAAUAAGAUGGAUGUCAUUAUCUCAGUCUCUCAAAUAGCUGAAGUGAGUACCGAAAGAAUUGGGACUCUCAGGAAACAAAAUAAUGGUAUCAAUAGGCUUGGCUGAACUUUGAAUAUUUAGACCACUAUAAAAAAAAAAAUUAUCCAGGAAGACCGAAAAGCCAGCAGAAAAAAAUCUGAGAGGACUGAAGAUGCCGCACAAAGCAAACCACAAUUUUGACUAACGUUUGGUAAAAUGAAGAAGCAAAGAUGGAAUAGAGUCGGCCAAAAAAACCGAUGGAAAUCUGGAGCAGUAAUAGUCCUUAGAAGAAGACGGGACCACCAUGUGCUGCAGUGUUUUGGUUUUUUGCAGAUGACAUUUCUUAAUUAUAUCCUUUUAAACCACGUCUCCGGGUUUUAAAUCAAAAUGUCUUAUGGCAAUACAAGCUAAUUCUCUCGCUUAAUGUUCCUAAUCGGGGCAGAGAAUUCUGCUGUCAAAGGACAUGAAGGUUAAGCGUGAUAUUGUUCGUUGUUUUGGAAUAACCCUGUUCCUUUCCCCUCCAGUGGUUUUUCUCUUGCCUUAUAAGGAGAAAAGUUGUAUAGAAGCGGUCCUCAAGUUACAACCAUUCAUUUAGUGAACGUUUGCAGUUACAAGAAAUCUGGGGGG